AGCAAGUAAGUUAAUCGGCCAAUAUUGACAUACAAGGAAUUGCCUUGGUGCACCGCCCACCAAACACAAAGU